GACGAACGCUGGCGGCGUGCUUAACACAUGCAAGUCGAACGGAAAGGCCCUGCUUUUGUGGGGUGCUCGAGUGGCGAACGGGUGAGUAACACGUGAGUAACCUGCCCUUGACUUUGGGAUAACUUCAGGAAACUGGGGCUAAUACCGGAUAGGAGCUCCUGCUGCAUGGUGGGGGUUGGAAAGUUUCGGCGGUUGGGGAUGGACUCGCGGCUUAUCAGCUUGUUGGUGGGGUAGUGGCUUACCAAGGCUUUGACGGGUAGCUGGCCGGAGAGGGUGGCCGGCCACAUUGGGACUGAGAUACGGCCCAGACUCCUACGGGAGGCAGCAGUGGGGAAUAUUGCACAAUGGGCGGAAGCCUGAUGCAGCAACGCCGCGUGCGGGAUGACGGCCUUCGGGUUGUAAACCGCUUUCGCCUGUGACGAAGCGUGAGUGACGGUAAUGGGUAAAGAAGUACCGGCUAACUACGUGCCAGCCGCCGCAGUAACAC
rnacentral:rRNA from 1 species